CCUGCGGAAGGAUCAUUAUCUAUAACCGGGUGUGGC
rnacentral:rRNA from 1 species